rnacentral:rRNA from 1 species
UACGGAGGGUGCGAGCGUUGUCCGGAAUCACUGGGCGUAAAGGGCGCGUAGGCGGCCUGAUAAGUAGGGGGUGAAAUCUUGCGGCUUAACCGCAAGGCUGCCUUCUAAACUGUCGGGCUAGAGCACAGUAGAGGCAGGUGGAAUUCCCGGUGUAGCGGUGGAAUGCGUAGAGAUCGGGAAGAACAUCAGUGGCGAAAGCACUCUGCUGGGCCGACACUGACACUGAGAGACGAAAGCUAGGGGAGCGAAUGGG